rnacentral:rRNA from 1 species
GAUGAACGCUGGCGGCGUGCUUAACACAUGCAAGUCGAACGGAGUUUUUAAGAGGAAGUUUUCGGAUGGAAUUUUAGGAACUGAGCAGCGGACGGGUGAGUAACGCGUGGGUAACCUGCCUCAUACAGGGGGAUAACAGUUAGAAAUGGCUGCUAAUACCGCAUAAGCGCACAGUGUCGCAUGACACCGUGUGAAAAACGAUAGUGGUAUGAGAUGGACCCGCGUCGGAUUAGCUAGUUGGAGGGGUAACGGCCCACCAAGGCGACGAUCAGUAGCCGGCCUGAGAGGGUGACCGGCCACAUUGGGACUGAGACACGGCCGAAACUCCUACGGGAGGCAGCAGUGGGGAAUAUUGCACAAUGGGGGAAACCCUGAUGCAGCGACGCCGCGUGACUGAAGAAGUAUUUCGGUAUGUAAAGGUCUAUCAGCAAGGAAGAAGAAAGACGGUACUUGACUAAGAAGCCCCGGCUAACUACGUGCCAGCAGCCGCGGUAACAC